rnacentral:rRNA from 1 species
GACGAACGCUGGCGGCGUGCUUAACACAUGCAAGUCGAGCGAGAAAGCCCCUUCGGGGGUGAGUACAGCGGCGAACGGGUGAGUAACACGUGGGCAACCUGCCCCAAGGAGCGGGACAACCCGGGGAAACCCGGGCUAUACCGCAUGCUCCGUCGCGUCUGAAGGCGCGCCGGGAAACGGUAGCUUCGGCCUCCGCCUUGGGAAGGGCCCGCGGCGGAUUAGCUUGUUGGUGGGGUAAUGGCUCACCAAGGCGACGAUCCGUAGCUGGUCUGAGAGGACGAUCAGCCACACUGGGACUGAGACACGGCCCAGACUCCUACGGGAGGCAGCAGUGGGGAAUCUUGCGCAAUGGGCGAAAGCCUGACGCAGCAACGCCGCGUGAGGGAAGAAGGCCCUCGGGUUGUAAACCGCUUUUGUCAGGGAAGAAACGUCCGCGCUAAUACCGUGGACUAAUGACGGUACCUGAAGAAUAAGCA